rnacentral:snRNA from 1 species
UAUGACUCUCUUAAGGUAGC